CUCAAUUAGAAUAUGGAUGCUGAACAAGAGGAUGUUGUUGUCAUUGUCAACUAUUGCUUCACAAUCUAGAUGUAUUGAGAAACAGGUGGAUUGCUUGUUUCCAACUGUUGAUGCUUUAAGUGAUGAUCUUCGUCCAAAGAAGUUUGAGAAUGAGCUACAAGUUCUAACGUUUCGUAGAGAGUUCUUGGAAGAGACGAACAAACAGAACAUUGUAGUGAUGGAUGCUCUUGGAAACAACAGACCUGA